CUGGUUUCUGUGGAUGGGGAAUUCACAUGGGCUACAGCAGGCCCUCUAAUCUUCUACGUUCGGAGUCUCAGGUGGAGGAUGAGCAGGCUUGGGGUUAGAAUCACCUGAAGACUCCUUCCCUCCUGGGCGGGCCUAGCUGGAUGUGCAGCCUGCAAUACCCCUCACAACCCUCCACCCUCUCUCUGGUUCCGGGGGUGCAUCGAGGAGAUGCCACCCACAAAAUGAAAUGUGUGGGAGUUAUUAUUUCGGAGAACCUGGGUUAGGUGAUUAUUUAAAUGUUUUGGUCAGGAUUUCUGAAGAAAAUACAGAGUAAGUUCAAACUAGGUAAAAGGAUUAUUUUUAAAAGCAUGGGGAGAGUUUAAGAAAAACCAAAAAUAAGGGAUUAUGUAGAACUCCAGAAGUAGCAACAGGAGAGAGCCAUUACCUGUCCCAGGAUUGAAGGGACCCUGAGGCUAUUUGAAGAGAGUGUCUGUGGCCUUUAGGGAGGGAGGCAGAUAACCAAGGAUGAGCUGGGGGAGUAGGAGGAGAGUGACUAAACCCUGUCACCUCAUUGUCCUCCUGCCCUCUGAUCCCCAUGUCUAACGCCCCUGAAGGCCGUAUGGCCAGACCAGUCUCCCAGGAUCUGGAGUAGGGUGAUGGUGAGAUGGUGGAGAAUGGGUCUGGACAGGCAAACAGAAGGUAUCCAACACACCAAGAUAUCACCAGGGUCCGGCUGGGGGAGGGAGGAGUGUGUUUUGGUGAGUCACCAGUUGUCCCUUAUAGAGCUUCAGGUGAAUGCUGCUGGAGUCUGUGAGGCCUCCAUUAACAGACUUUCUAUUAUAUUUUAUCUUAUGAAAUUCCCAUUUUUGUAGGUAAAAUAAACUGGAAAAAUAGGCAAUUGCAUGUAGUUCAACUUAAUAUUCUGGGUACUUUCCAAUAAAGCUGCUAUUAGAUAACUGUUCAUAUUAGAUCACUAAAAAUGUGGCUCCUCAUUGUUUUAUUGUUGAGUAUUUUCUGUAUUAGAACUGCCUAAAAUACUUAAGUGGAAUGGGUAUUCUAAUUGGCCCACAAUAAACACCAGCCAAGGGAUGCUGGCAUCCUCUAGAAGACAGAAGAGGUAAGGAAGGGAUUCUCUUCCAAAAGGAACCAGCUCUGCAGAAACGUUCAUUUCAGUCCUAUACGAUUUUAUUCAGACCUCUGAUCUCCAGAACUGUAAAAGAAUAAAUUUGUGUUGUUUUAAGCCAAAUUUGUGAUAACUUAUAAAAGCAGCCAUAGGAAACUAAUAAUUGUGGUUUCCCUAGUUAUGUGAGUAUAGAGUGAGGAGGUAUGCAUGAGGAUAGAGUCCUUUCGACACCAUGUUGUUACUCCUUACAAACUCAGAUGCGAAAUUUGCACGAAGAGGAUAGCAGCCUCAGAAAGAUUGGGACCAAAACACGCACCCAGAAAUUUGGGGUUAGAGUGAUCUGUCAGGGUAGACUCGGAUGGUUCCCAGCAAGACACGGUAACAGAGAAGGCCAAUGGGAUGCCUGGGAAUACAGUGUCCUUAGAAAAGCGAGGAGGUCUUGGCUGAUCCAGGCUCGACAUAAGAUCCCAAGUGUUGUUGGGGGCACGACUGAUCUGGCACAGCUGAUGAUGUAUGUUACAAGGCCCUCAGGACCCAGCUGCCCAGAGAUGGUGUUUUUAGGGAAUAAUGGCUGAGCAAGACAUUGUGGACAAAUAAUGAGAGCUCUACUCCAGGAAUCCAAGCAGGAGGCGUCCCUGAAGCCAGAGCACCGGCUUGGACCAGCUCAGCAAGGGUUAACAAGGACCUGAGGAACUCUGGGGACCAGGUUUCCGCAGUGGCUCUGUGUGGCAGUGAGAAACACUGGUAGCAGUGGGCCAACUGGACUUCAGUCGUCUCUCCACUGGGCCUCUCAGCAAGGAUUGACCGGAUUGGCACUGAGUGAUCCCUGGAGGUUGCUGGGAGGACAUGGAAGGUAUAGAUAGAAGGUUUGGAACUCCAAGUCAGAGGUUGAAAAGAAAAAUGGUUUUUGGCCGAAUCAACGACUGAAUGAGAGAUCAGCGUGGUGUGUCAGCUGCAAUUUCUUUUAAAGCCUCCUUCCUGUCCGCCGUUAUCUUCUUCCUUCGUUUUGCCUGGAGUCCUUUUUGAGCUAAGAUAGAAAUCAAAAGGAAAAAAUAAAGCUGCUGACUCUAUAGUGACAGCUGCUGAUAUAUUUUGUAAAUGAGGAGCCCACCUUCAAGCGCAAAUAAUCCAAACAUGUAUAAUAUUUUAAGACGACUUUACAAUUCAAAAUGUCUUUUUCAUUUUAAUACUUCUUUCUAUCUCUCGUCCUGGAUAAUUGACUAGAAUUGAGAUUUUUUCCAAAAGACACAGGAAACUUCUACCAUACACAGAAAUCCAUUUGAAGUGAUGUUGAAAUCUAAAUGUGAAAGACGAAAUAAUAAAGUUUACAGAGAUGACCCAGAAGAAUGCUUCAUGAACUUGGAGUAGGGAAAGCCUUCUUAAACAGGAGACAGGAAACAUUAAUCAUAAAGGAAAAUACUGAUAAAUCAUACUGUAUUAAAACUUCUGUUGAUAAAAAUGUAAUACUAAGAAAGUAA
ensembl:lncRNA